ACACACACACACACACACCGGCGUACUGGAACCUCUCUCGCGAUCCCGCACCCAGCUUGAAUUCAGCAAGAAUCGAAAACAGGGGCGGUUCGAAGAUGGCCGAAUAGGAACAGCUCCAGUCUGCAGCUCCCAGCUUGAGCGACACAGAAGACGGGUGAUUCCUGCAUUUCCAACUGAGGUACUGGGUUCAUCUCACUGGGGCUUGUCAGACAGUGGGGGCAGGACAAUGGGUGCAGCCCACCGAGGGUGAGCCAAAGCAGGGCAAGGCAUCACCUCACCCGGGAAGUGCAAGGGGUCAGGGAAUUCCCUUUCCCAGCCAAGGGAAGCAGUGACGGAAAGCACCAGGAAAAUCAGGUCACUCCCACCCUAAUAUGCGCUUUUCCAAUGGUCUUAGCAAAUGGCACAUCAGGAGAUUAUAUCCCACGCCUGGCUCCCAGGGUCCCACGCCCAUGGAGCCUCGCUCAUUGCUAGCACACCAGUCUGAGAUCAAACUGCAAGGCGGCAGCGAGGCUGGGGGAGGGGCGCUUGCCAUUGCUGAGGCUUCAGUAGGUAAACAAAGCGGCCCAGAAGCUGGAACUGGGUGGAGCCCACAGCAGCUCAAGGAGGCCUGCCUGCCUUUGUAGACUCCACCUCUGGGGGCAGGGCAUAGCCAAACAAAAGGCAGCAGAAACCUCUGCAGACUUAAAUGUCCCUGUCUGACAGCUUUGAAGUGAGUAGUGGCUCUCCCAGCACGGAGUUUGAGAUCUGAGAAUGGACAGACUGCCUCCUCAAGUGGGUCCCUGACCCCCGAGUAGCCUAACUGGGAGGCACCCUCCAGUAGGGGCAGACUGACACCUCACACAGCCGGGUACACCUCUGAGACAAAGCUUCCAGAGGAACGAUCAGGCAGCAACAUUUGCUGUUCAGCAAUAUUCACUGUUCUCCAGCCUCCUCUGCUGAUACCCAGGCAAACAGGGUUUGGAGUGAACCUCCAGCAAACUCCAACAGACCUGCAGCUAACUGUCCUGACUGUUAGAAGGAAAACUAACAAACAGAAAGGACAUCCACACCAAAACGCCAUCUGUACGUCACCAUCAUCAAAGACCAAAGGUAGAUAGAACCACAAAGAUGGGGAAAAAACAGAGCAGAAAAGCUGAAAAUUCUAAAACUCGGAGCACCUCUCCCCCUCCAAAGGAAUGCAGCUCCUCACCAGCAAUGGAACAAAGCUGGAUGGAGAAUGAGUUUGACGAGUUGAGAGAAGAAGGCUUCAGAUGAUCAAACUUCUCCAAGCUAAAGGAGGAAUUUCGAACCCAUCGCAAAGAAGCUAAAAACCUUGAGAAAAGAUUAGACAAAUGGCUAACUAGAAUAACCAGUGUAGAGAAGUCCUUAAAUGACCUGAUGGAGCUGAAAACGAUGGCACAAGAACUACAUGAUGAAUGCACAAGCUUCAAUAGCUGAUUCCAUCAACUGGAAGAAAGGGUAUCAGUGAUUGAAGAUCAAAUUAAUGAAAUGAAGUGAGAAGUUUAGAGUAAAAAGAAAUGAACAAAGCCUCCAAGAAACAUGGGACUAUGUGAAAAGACCAAAUCUACAUCUGAUUGGUGUACCUGAAAGUGACGGGGAGAAUGGAACCAACUUGGAAAACACUCUGCAGGAUAUUACCCAUGAGAACUUCUCCAACCUAGCAAGGCAGGCCAAUAUUCAAAUUCAGGAAAUACAGAGAAUGCCACAAAGAUACUCUUCGAGAAGAGCAACUCCAAGACACAUAAUUGUAAGAUUCACCAAAGUUGAAAUGAAGGGGAAAAUGUUAAGGGCAGCCAGAAAGAAAGGUUGGGUUACCCACAAAGGGAAGCCCAUCAGACUAACAGCAGAUUGCUCGGCAGAAACUCUACAAGCCAGAAGAGAGUGGAAGCUAAUAUUCAACAUUCUUAAAGAAAAGAAUUUUUGACGCAGAAUUUCAAAUCCAGGCAAACUAAGCUUCACAAGUGAAGGAGAAAUACAAUCCUUUACAGACAAGCAAAUGCUGAGAGAUUUUGUCACCACCAGGCCUGCCCUAAAAGAGCUCCUGAAGGAAGCACUAAACAUGGAAAGAAACAACUGGUAACAGCCACUGCAAAAACAUGCCAAAUUCUAAAGACCAUCGAUGGCUAGGAAGAAACUGCAUCAACUAACAAGCAAAAUAACCGGCUAACAUCAUAAUGACAGGAUCAAUUUCACACAUAACAAUAUUAACCUUAAAUGUAAAUGGACUAAAUGCUCCAAUUAAAAGACACAGACUGGCAAAUUAGAUAAAGAGUCAAGACCCAUCAGCGUGCUGUAUUCAGGAGACCCAUCUCACAUGCAGAGACACACAUAGGCUCAAAAUAAAGAGAUGGAGGAAGAUCUACCAAGCAAAAGGAAAACAAAGAAAAGGAGGGGUUACAAUCCUAUGCUCUGAUAAAACAGACUUUAAACCAACAAAGAUCAAAAGAGACAAAGAAGGCCAUUACAUAAUGGUAAAGGAAUCAAUUCAACAAGAAGAGCUAACUAUCCUAAACAUAUAUGCACCCAAUACAGGAGCACCCAGAUUCAUAAAGCAAGCCCUUAGAGACCUACAAAGAGACUUAGACUCCCACACAAUAAUAAUGGGAGACUUUAAAACCCCACUGUCAACAUUAGACAGAUAAACGAGACAGAAAGUUAACAAGGAUAUCCAGGAAUUGGACUCAGCUCUGCACCAAGCAGACCUAAUAGACAUCUACAGAACUCUCCACCCCAAAUCAACAGAAUAUACAUUAUUCUCAGCACCACAUUGCACUUAUUCCAAAAUUGACCACACAGUUGGAAGUAAAGCACUCCUCAGCAAAUGUAAAAGAACAGAAAUCACAACAAACUGUCCCUCAGACCAUAGUGCAAUCAAACUAGAACUCAGGAUUAAGAAACUCACUCAAAACUGCUCAACUACAUGGAAACUGAACAACCUGCUCCUGAAUGACUACUGGGUAAAUAAUGAAAUGAAGGCAGAAAUAAACAUGUUCUUUGAAACCAAUGAGAACAAAGACACAACAUAUCAGAAUCUCUGGGACACAUUUAAAGCAGUGUGUACAGGGAAAUUUAUAGCACUAAAUGCUCACAAGAGAAAGCAGUAAAGACCUAAACUUGACACCCUAACAUCACAGUUAAAAGAACUAGAGAAGCAAGAGCAAACACAUUCAAAAGCUAGCAGAAGGCAACAAAUAACUAAGAUCAGAGCAGAACUGAAGAAGAUAGAGACACAAAAAACCCUUCAAAAAAUCAAUGAAUCCAGAAGCUGGUUUUUUGAAAAGAUCAACAAUAUUGAUAGACUGCUAGCAAGACUAAUAAAGAAGAAAA
rnacentral:lncRNA from 1 species